CUACACAAACGACAAUGUCAACGUUCAAUAUGUGUGCUCGUGUGACUCGUGCAGAGGGCCCUCAGGAAGACUGCUCUGAUAGCACUGAGUAAUCCCAAAGUCUGUAAUGGGUGGUGCCCGAUGUCCAUCGAGUUCAUCUUUGUGGAAGCUGUUGGCGACACGCACAGAGGCCACAAAUGAUGAAACAAGGACCGCAAUGCCUUUAAAAUUAAAACAGGCUCCAGCGCUGAGUAGCAAAGGGGGCUAUCACAACCCCACAAGAGAGUGAUUUUUAUUUAGUUUCUUCCUUGUGUUUCGCCGAGCUGGUUGUUUUGUUUAUUUGAUAUGUCCUACAUAAAAUAUGUAUAUAUUUAUAUUGUAACUUAGUAGUUUUGUUCUAUUAAAUAGCCCCCACUUUUUAAUAUUGUAUGUAUAUUUUUACAUUUUUAAACAUAUCAUUUAAAAACAUUGCACAUUUA